rnacentral:misc_RNA from 1 species
GGAGUCUCGAGGCUCGGAGCGGUAGCGCUUCUUCAUGGACUCGAUCUUGUUCUUGCACUGGAUGGGGGUUUUAAGGCCCGGCGAGCGGCCGGAGACCUCGCGGGCGAUGUCCUCCCAGUCGGAGCCCUUGAGCUUGGCGCGGUUCCGGAGAAGCCACUUGGAUUGGUAGAUCUCCAGCAGCGACAGCACGCCGACCUCGCUCCA